CUCUGAGCACGUCCCGCGUCCUCCCAGGUGUGGGGCGAGCAGCAGCUGUAAUUACUGAGCGCGAGUGAUUGCGUUAGCUGGGGAGUUAUCAAAUGCCCCGAGCCGCUGGCAGCAGCUCUGUUCUGGAUGGAGGAGUGAAGGUUUGCACCUCCAGCCAGUAAUCGCAGCCAGCUUUCCAGUCCUCACCCUUGGGGAGCAGCCGAGGCACGGGGAGCUUUCAGCGUUGGUUCGCGAGGAGUUUAUCUCGAAGCUUGUGCAACGACUGGAGCGGCUCCAUGCCGAAACGGAUUCGGAGCAGAGCAAAAACCACCAAGCCAGGAAAACAAACCUGGAGCUCGAGCAGAGCCCUGAUGGAUAACCCCAGCUCCCAGGACCUCUGGAGUUCAUCUGCAGCAAGCUGGGAGCUCACCACGACACAUUUCAUGAUGAGACUCCCUGUACCGCCGGGGGAGGCAGGAGCCUCGUCGCGCCAGCCUCUCCCACUGCAUUGCUGUGCCCUUUCCUCAGCCUCGGUGGCUCUCUGCUUGAAGGCAAAAAAGGGAGAGCAGCAGCUCGAGCUGGACAGGAGCGGGGUUUUCAGUUUCACUGGAACGGCUGCGCAUUCUGCUUUUUUUUUUUCUUUUCCCACUCCAAAAUAAUAGACGAACGAAAAUAAGAAGUUUCUCGUAAAACAGAACAGUUUGGGGGAGGAAAAAAAAAAAAGCUCAAUUGGACUUGAAGGAAACAUUAUUUUUUCAAUACAAUCAAAACACUUCAGUGCUAUUUUUACUCCUCAGUGCAGCCUUCAGUGGGAAAUGGAGACGCUGCAGGAUGCUUCUGGGGAUGAGAUUCCACCUGGGGUGCUGCGUGCUGGAGGCUGCGGUGGCACCAGGCACCCGUCUGUGCUCGUUCCCUCGGUGCUGCUGCCUGGUUUUGAGGCAAAAUAUGGGGCUGAAGUAAGGGGACGGGGGCUGUAGGGUGACCCCUGAUGCCUGUGCUUGCUUUGCUGCCAAAGCACCCUCAGCUCUGCCCCCUGAAAUGGGGAGCACCGCAGUCGAAGGCUGAGCUCCUUCCCUGGGCUCUUUUAGGGUGGGAGAUGCUGAGCCCCUAAUUUUGGGUCUGGUGAUGUCCUCACCUCCCCCUUGUGCUGCCCAGAUGGCUGCUCCGUCCCUUUGCACAACGAGCUCUUUGCACAACUGGGCCUGAAAUAUUUGGGUGAUGAGUGGCCAGAGGAAGGGCUGGGUGAUGAGUCCGUGCUGGGGACGAUUCCCAGCUCUACCCAGCUUGGGGGCGAGCCAGGGUUAAUUACAGCCCUGCUCUUCCCGAGGGGGGGAAGGAAAACUUUUAUAGGGGAUGGGGGUAUGAGGAUAUGGCCCCGGAGGACCAGUCCUGGAAUGUUUUUGGAAAUCUGAUGCUGCCUCUGAUGUUUCCCCACUCAGCAGUUGACCAAGGGGAGCUGCAGAGCUGCGAGGAAGAGUUAACUCUUGCCUGGGAGCGCUGCAGCUGCUGCAGGGGAGCAGUGAGGUUGGGUUUUUGGGUUGGUCCCUGCCUGCGUCAGAUGGGUGCUGGCGUGUGGAAGGAAGAAUAUGGCUUGGAAAGGGGGAAAAAUUCUCCAGGUGCUUCCUGGAGAAGACAGAGACCCAGCCACAGUGGGGUCUUUGUUCCUGGAAAGAGGCUGAGAGGAGAAAAUGGGGCGUUUGCUCACAAAAGGAAAAGCACAAAGUGGAUAAGAAAUGGGUUUUGGUUUCCUGGUGAGAGCAAGGGACGUGCAAAGGGUCAAGGACCGGAUGCCGCAGCCUAAACUUGCCCAAAUAGUCCCAAAUCUGCUGCACGAGUGGCUGUGGGACAGAGGGAGGUGGGAAAGGCAGCAGGAGGGGCGAUGGGGGCACCCCAGGGGCUGAAGGUGUCUGGGUGAGGGGCUGCAGGGGGGGACCCGUGCCGGGGGCCUGGCACAAAGGGUGCUGAGAGGGGUUGAGUCAACCCCCCGGCAGCUCUGAGCCGCUGGAGGAGGGAGCUGAAUUUAUAGCUGCAAUAUUUGGAGCAGUUUCUGGGGGUCUCUGGGGCUUUGACGAGGCCGGUUCUCUCCUCGCGCUGUGCCAAGCAAUAUAGGCAAAUCCGCGCCGGGCGUAACGAGCAGUAAUUUAAUGGGGCUGCCGAGAUUACUUCCCAGAUCGGGCUGCCACAUCCAUCAUCCCCAGCCCCUCUGUGCUGUCUGGUUUCACCUCCCCAUCGUGCGCACAGGCACCGGAGCGGGGCUGGGGACCUGGGGGCUGCCACCACCGUGUGCUCGGUGCAGAGGAAGGGGUCUCCUGGUGGGAAUGUCCCCACCUGGGGCGCGCGGGCUCAGUCCCCAGCUCCCGAUAACUCCUGGUUCUAUCACCUUUAUUUCCCCCAAAGCCCACCCUGGGGGAGCAGCUGCUGGGAUGGGGGCAGCCCCCAGACCAGGAGCCCUGGGGGCGGUGGGGGGGGGCUCUGGCACUUUGUGCCCCCUGUCCUGGGGAGCCGGGCGAGCUCCUGGAGCAGCUGAAGUCAUGCAGGGAAAGCAGGCGGCUGGCUCCUGCCUGCGGAGAGGAAAAAUACUGGACAAAGGGGAGGAGGGAAGGAUGAAGGCCAAAACGGAGGGAGGGCUGCGGGGCCAGACGCGACUCAGGUGUUCCCAUUGCGAGCAGCCACCGCGGCACCACGAUGGCAAAGCCUGGAUGGGACAGGGGAGGUGACGGGGGCUUGGGGCAGCCCCCGGGGAGCUUUGUCACCCAGUUGCCAUCACCAGGGCCACCCCUGCUUCCACCCGUGCAGGGGCAGGCGUGCAUCCCUCAGAAAAUCAGGCCAGAUGUCUACCGUAGCUUGGUGCCUCCUUUCUUCCGUGCCCCCGGUGCUUUUCUGCUGGUCGGGGGCUUUGUCCCUGCUGGUUGCUGCCACCCUGGCUGUCCCCAGCCUCCCUCCACGCGGGCAGUCCCUCACGUAUUAUUUUAUGUAUUUAUUUAAGGCUCUGCAGAGCCCUUGGCCCGAGCGGCAUCUUGUGGUGAUGGGUCCCCCUGGAUAAUUGGGUGUUUGGCUCAGGAUAUUUGCUCUCAUGGUUUCCAGGGUGCUUCACUGGGAGCUGCAUUGAAUCACGCCCUUGUUCCUGCUCUGCCCAGCACCGAGCUGACACCAGGAGCCCUCCGUCCUUCCCCUUCCAACGUGUUUGGGGUUGGUGUGGUUGGAGCGUGGCACAGUCCCCAUUGUCCCUGCCACCAGCAGGGGCUGCAGCAACCUCUUGUCCUGGAGAGUGGUCAGCUCAUCUCGAAUGAAGGCAGCUGGGGGUGCAAAAAUGUGGCCAUCUGGGGAGCUUUGCAAGAGCAAAAGGCUUUGGAGAGGGGCCUGGGGCCGUGCGUGCUCCUCCACCAGCCUUGCCAUGGGGCUGGGGGUGCAGCAGCCCCUCUCCAUUUAGGGGACAGCAGGGAGCUGUGCCCCCCAUCCCUGUGGCCAGGGGGGUUGCUGAGUGCCCAGCACGUGGGUUGGACACGGAGGGGCUGAGGGAGGCAGGAUCCAGCCCUGGGUGCUGCUGCUGCUGCUGUUCCUCCUGGCGUGCCGGGGCCGUGUGCGCUGGGCUGCUCCAAGCACUGGCUCCUAGAGAGCAGCCACUAAUGGACACCAGGCGCUGCCGCCUGCUGUCGUGGGGGGGCAGGAGAAAAGCAAAAAGGGGGCUUCUCCCCCCUCUCCCCCCACCCAAGGUCUCCUGGCAGUGCCAAGCCCCCAGUGCGCAAGGGGUCCGUGGUGGCCUUGGGGACCCUGGGCCAGGAGGAGGUGGCUGCCAGGCACCCCAGCUGCUUCCAAGGCAUCUCUGAAGUCGUUUCCACGUCCUCCUGAAGCAUCUGGGGCCGAGACGUUGCCUAACCUCGAGGCGAGAUCCUCGUCUCGUGUCAGGGCCGGGUAAGGCCAUCGCUGCGGGGUCACUCGGUCACCUGCCCUUGUCCCCGUGCCUCUCUGGGGACCCCUUUGUGCCACGACCCCACUCCAAAAAAGGGUGAUGCAGGUCCCUGGGUAGGCAGCGUUUAACCCCAGGGGGGUAAAUUGCUCCCCUGGGGCUUUUGGGCUCUGUGGCCCCAAAAUUGGGGGUGCCAAAGGGGCCGUGCUGGGCUCCUGCUGCUCCUCCUGGCUGCCACCAUCCUGCACGUGCCUCAGUUUCCCCUCUGUUCAGCAGGCAGCGGGAUGGGACCUCAGGGAAGAGCUGAGUGGAUGGAGACCCAGGAGAGGAGGGGACAGGGUUCCCUGCAGGCAGGGGCUGUGCUGGGGGGACCCCUGGGGAGGGAGGGGGUCCUGGACCCUUCCCCACAGUUCCCAGCCCCCUGGCGCUGCAGCCAGGAGCUGAUGUGUGCAGCAGCCCUUGGCCCCGCGCCCUGCCCCGCUGCCAAGAGCUAAUAAGCGGCUGCUCGGCCCUGCAGGGGAAAAAAAAAAAUUAAAAAAAAUAGAAAAAGGGGGUUUGGACUUCUCUCCCUCGGAGAAAUGAGCCGGAUGAUUUAAUCCUCGAGAAAUGUGAGGUCUGACGAAUUCUCUAUCCCCUCCCUGCGCUUAAAGCAGCCACGAGAAUAGCCCAGGAGCUGUGAGAUGGGGGGAGGAAGGUGCAGGGGGGGCUCAGUGGUCGCAGUGCAGAGUGAGGGGAGCUGGCAGCUGUGCUGUGGCCGCCCUGGGGAUGGGGACAGCCCUGCUGUCACCGAUCUGUGACAUUCGGUGGGGACGGGAUCCCCACGCACCGCAAUGCCAGACGUGCGACGGGCCGGAGGCUGCAGCCUGCUGCUGCCGCUUACAAACCAAACAGGGCGCCUUUGAAGGUGGAUUCGAGACUUGGACACCGGGAGGAAUUCCUGCAGGAAGAAAAUUCAACAAACAAAGUCG